rnacentral:rRNA from 1 species
UGCAGUCGACGGCAGCACGGGGGCACCCUGGUGGCGAGUGGCGAACGGGUGAGUAACAUAUCGGAACGUGCCCUGGAGUGGGGGAUAACUAGUCGAAAGAUUAGCUAAUACCGCAUACGAUCUACGGAUGAAAGUGGGGGAUCGCAAGACCUCAUGCUCGUGGAGCGGCCGAUAUCUGAUUAGCUAGUUGGUGGGGUAAAGGCCUACCAAGGCAUCGAUCAGUAGCUGGUCUGAGAGGACGACCAGCCACACUGGGACUGAGACACGGCCCAGACUCCUACGGGAGGCAGCAGUGGGGAAUUUUGGACAAUGGGCGCAAGCCUGAUCCAGCAAUGCCGCGUGAGUGAAGAAGGNCUUCNGGGUUGUAAAGCUCUUUUGUCAGGGNANAAACGGU